rnacentral:rRNA from 1 species
CACGUAGGGCGCAAGCGUUGUCCGGAAUUAUUGGGCGUAAAGAGCUCGUAGGCGGUCAGGUAGGUCCGUUGUGAAAACUCGAGGCUCAACCUCGAGACGCCGAUGGAAACCAUCUGACUAGAGUCCGGAAGAGGAGAGUGGAAUUCCUGGUGUAGCGGUGAAAUGCGCAGAUAUCAGGAAGAACACCCGUGGCUAAGGCGGCUCUCUAGUACGGUACUGACGCUGAGACGCGAAAGCGUGGGGAGCGAACAGG